rnacentral:ncRNA from 1 species
AUUUUUCCUAUGAAGGGAUAAGUACGAUCAUGCAUGCUUUAGUACAGAGAGCCGGGGGAGCUGCAAGCCGGUCUGAAGCAGAGUUCGGAAAAUGGUCCUGGAGGAACUGCUUUCGAGCCAUAUCCGUCCUAGUAGAUGGAAGGUAAGGGAGCGGCGCAUGCCAGCGUUAGCGGGCACAGUUAAGCAAUGAGCUUGACUGGUAUGAGCCUGAUUUCUUACUUGAGUGUGAAGUGAUCAGGGAAUUUGGGUGGUACCACGUGAGUGUAACAGACUCUCGUCCCAUAU